rnacentral:rRNA from 1 species
UUUGAUCCUGGCUCAGGAUGAACGCUGACAGAAUGCUUAACACAUGCAAGUCUAUGGGGAAGUGGUGCUUGCACCAUGGUAACCAUGGCGGACGGGUGAGUAACGCGUAAGGGACUUACCCGCGGGACUGGGAUAACAGCAGGAAACUGCUGAUAAGACCGGAUAAGGUCAUAGAGCUGCAUGGUUCUAUGAUGAAAGGCGACGCCCGCGGAGAGCCUUGCGUCCUAUUAGCUAGUUGGGGGGGUAAUGGCCCACCAAGGCGAAGAUAGGUAGCCGGCCUGAGAGGGUGGACGGCCACAAGGGGACUGAGAUACGGCCCUUACUCCUACGGGAGGCAGCAGUGGGGAAUAUUGGACAAUGGGGGCAACCCUGAUCCAGCAAUUCUGUGUGCACGAAGACGGUUUUCGGAUUGUAAAGUGCUUUCAGCAGGGAAGAAGUAAGUGACGGUACCUGCAGAAGAAGCGACGGCUAAAUACGUGCCAGCAGCCGCGGUAAUACGUAUGUCGCGAGCGUUAUCCGGAAUUAUUGGGCAUAAAGGGCAUCUAGGCGGCCUAUCAAGUCAGGGGUGAAAACCUGCGGCUCAACCGCAGGCCUGCCUUUGAAACUGACAGGCUGGAGUAUCGGAGAGGUGGACGGAACUGCACGAGUAGAGGUGAAAUUCGUAGAUAUGUGCAGGAAUGCCGAUGAUGAAGAUAGUUCACUGGACGAUAACUGACGCUGAAGUGCGAAAGCCGGGGGAGCAAACAGGAUUAGAUACCCUGGUAGUCCCGGCCGUAAACGAUGAUUACUGGGUGUGGGCAGGAAGACUGUCUGUGCCGAAGCAAAUGCGAUAAGUAAUCCGCCUGGGGAGUACGACCGCAAGGUUGAAACUCAAAGGAAUUGACGGGGACCCGCACAAGCGGUGGAGCAUGU